rnacentral:rRNA from 1 species
GAUGAACGCUAGCGGCAGGCUUAAUACAUGCAAGUCGUGGGGUAGAGAGGUGCUUGCACUUCUUGAGACCGGCAAACGGGUGCGGAACACGUACACAACCUUCCUUUUAGAGGGGGAUAGCCCAGGGAAACUUGGAUUAAUACCCCGUAAGAUGUUGGUGAGGCAUCUCACUGAUAUUAUAGCAGCGAUGCGCUAGAAGACGGGUGUGCGUAUGAUUAGGUAGUUGGCGGGGUAAUGGCCCACCAAGCCUACGAUCAUUAACUGGUGUGAGAGCACGACCAGUAACACGGGCACUGAGACACGGGCCCGACUCCUACGGGAGGCAGCAGUAAGGAAUAUUGGUCAAUGGACGCAAGUCUGAACCAGCCAUGCCGCGUGGAGGAUGAAGGUCCUCUGGAUUGUAAACUUCUUUUAUCUGGGGCGAAAAAGGGGAAUUCUUUCUCAACUGACGGUACCAGAUGAAUAAGCACCGGCUAACUCCGUGCCAGCCGCCGCCGUAAAAC